rnacentral:rRNA from 1 species
UUGGAGAUUUGAUCCUGGCUCAGGACGAACGCUGGCGGCGUGCUUAACACAUGCAAGUCGAACGAUGAACCACUUCGGUGGGGAUUAGUGGCGAACGGGUGAGUAACACGUGGGCAAUCUGCCCUGCACUCUGGGACAAGCCCUGGAAACGGGGUCUAAUACCGGAUACUGAUCCUCGCAGGCAUCUGCGAGGUUCGAAAGCUCCGGCGGUGCAGGAUGAGCCCGCGGCCUAUCAGCUAGUUGGUGAGGUAACGGCUCACCAAGGCGACGACGGGUAGCCGGCCUGAGAGGGCGACCGGCCACACUGGGACUGAGACACGGCCCAGACUCCUACGGGAGGCAGCAGUGGGGAAUAUUGCACAAUGGGCGAAAGCCUGAUGCAGCGACGCCGCGUGAGGAUGACGGCCUUCGGGUUGUAAACCUCUU